ACACAUGCAGUCGAGCGGUAACACAGGGAGCUUGCUCCCGGGUGACGAGCGGCGGACGGGUGAGUAAUGUCUGGGAAACUGCCUGAUGGAGGGGGAUAACUACUGGAAACGGUAGCUAAUACCGCAUAACGUCGCAAGACCAAAGAGGGGGACCUUCGGGCCUCUUGCCAUCAGAUGUGCCCAGAUGGGAUUAGCUAGUAGGUGGGGUAACGGCUCACCUAGGCGACGAUCCCUAGCUGGUCUGAGAGGAUGACCAGCCACACUGGAACUGAGACACGGUCCAGACUCCUACGGGAGGCAGCAGUGGGGAAUAUUGCACAAUGGGCGCAAGCCUGAUGCAGCCAUGCCGCGUGUAUGAAGAAGGCCUUCGGGUUGUAAAGUACUUUCAGCGGGGAGGAAGGCGAUAAGGUUAAUAACCUUGUCGAUUGACGUUACCCGCAGAAGAAGCACCGGCUAACUCCGUGCCAGCAGCCGCGGUAAUACGGAGGGUGCAAGCGUUAAUCGGAAUUACUGGGCGUAAAGCGCACGCAGGCGGUCUGUCAAGUCGGAUGUGAAAUCCCCGGGCUCAACCUGGGAACUGCAUUCGAAACUGGCAGGCUAGAGUCUUGUAGAGGGGGGUAGAAUUCCAGGUGUAGCGGUGAAAUGCGUAGAGAUCUGGAGGAAUACCGGUGGCGAAGGCGGCCCCCUGGACAAAGACUGACGCUCA
rnacentral:rRNA from 1 species